CACUAACUGAAGCUAACCGGAAGCUUUCUUCUCAUGCGACUCUUGGAUCGAAAAGAGGCUGCUGGACUGGACCACGGCUGAAACUGCCAGGCACGGACUAAAACCUUUUAUCAGGGAUUCCCGAGUCAAACGACUACCAUACAUAGCAUAGAGCUGGAAGCUGCACUAGUGUACAGAGAAGACUGGAUGUGAACACGGGCGGACAUUGGCUAUGUAUGGGGCACUCACUAAUCACUAUUAGCAGGAAACAACUAGCAGAAAGAAAGAUGAACGCACUUUCACUCCUUGCUCUUCAGCACGUACUCACAUGAGGGACUCUCAAAUCUCUAUUUCAGACCAUAAUCUUUCGAUCCCUUUACCGAAGUGAUUGAUAGCAGGGCUAAAAAAUCAUAGGGCUUCUUCUAUUUUUAGUGUGAACUCACUUCUAUUCUAUAUCAAGAUAGGGGCUUCAGUACUUGGCUGACCGCCCGGUGGAAGACCUGGUUCUACCACACAAGGGCAGCUUUCGUAGUCCAGGAUUAUUUUCCUCAUAUGUAAUUUCACCUCAAUGUGGAAAUGUCCGAUCUUAUUCCAAAAUAGAAGGUCUUCAUGAAGGUCUGUCUUGUUUCAGGAAUAUAGGUACCGAAGUUCAAUAGCGGUAGGUACCAAGGAGAAGACGAGUCAGGGCCGAUUGACAAGACUAGCUAGGCUAACCUUCCAGCCAUACUCCAUCCAAUAUCGAACGGAAGUGCUAAAGGUUUCAUGUGAUGCUGACCUCAAUGAACCAGACCUCGAGAAUUCGUUCAUCCCUUCGCUCCGAGGAUUGGUCGAGUACUUGGCCACAUGCAUGAGUAGGCCUGUUGCCGGGAUGUCCCAUUAAAAAGGCAGGUCCCAUAUUUGAAAUACAAAAAUAAGAUCAGAUAGCGCUCAAGAGGUUUUUCUCCAUACGAGAAAUCCUUCACUCGCAGGGAAUUCAAAUAGAUGUGUUGAAGAUCAUCAAAGAAAGGAGAAGACUAAGCAGCUCAAUAGGGUCUCGAGUACGACUAUAGUACCAAAGCUUGGUGCUUCUACCAGUCAAGCAAUUACCACGGGUGGAUAUUCAAUAGAAAGCCUACUUGAGUAGGUCAAACAGCGGGGAUCUCUCAGUUCCAAUGGCUGGAUCUCAGAAUCGCGUAGAUGGGUAGAAGUAAUGGGCAAACGCACCUAAGUUAGAGAUUUCAACUACUACGGUAGUGAUGGGGUGCCUGUUUACCUAAGUAGGCCUAGUUCUUUCUAUAAUGAGCAUUCGCGUCCGGGGACUUUGAUCCAACUUCAGCCGAUGGGGAAACGGCAAAGGAUGCACCGGUAUCUGGACACGUGAUGGACCCAGUAGUAAAUAUUCCUUUGUGGAAGGCUUUGGUUAUACCUGGGUGGCAAAGCGAAGUUUCUGGUGGGUAGGUGUCUAAAACAACCCUCUGCAAGGAAGCACGCCCGUAUCAAUCCUUUAAUCGGAGACUAGACUAGCGUUAGGAAGGACAAAGGAGACAGACAGAAUUUACAUCAGAAAAAAAGGACUUUUUGAAGUUUGAGUGAGGAUAAUUGUCUUAAAUUUCGGAGAAUCGGCUGAAAAAACGCGGAAUUGUCUUCGCCUUUGUAAGCGAAAAUGUCCAGUAAAGCCUAUCUCGCUUUUAGCCUUCAUGGUGAAUGGCCCACCCUUUCUUUGAACCUUGUCAAUGAUCGAACGAACUUACAGAUAUGAACUGAGUGCCAUUUGAUGAGUAAGAUCGAACAAGGGAGAGGGAUAUGGAAAGGAUGAAGUAAUGAAAGAGGAAGUCAUUGCUAGUAGUAACGACUUGUCACGAUCCAUUGGUUCAUAUAGAAUCCAUGUCCUAGGUCUAUCAAAAAACAUUCUUUUUGCUAAGCGUAUAUAAUAAAAUAGAGUGAAAGGGUCCACCCCGAAACCAAGGGGGUACUAACUAACAGCUGAGUCCUCUCCGAACCGCAGGAGAUAGCUGCCCAUCAUACGGCUCACCAACUUCACUUGCCUCUAAGGGGGGCUCGCUCCGGGCAGGUUCGGAUCACUUACUAUACACGGCCCUACGAAGGGGUUAGGAGCGUUUUCAAGAUGAUUCUUUCUUUGUCGAGACGAAAAAGGAACCCAUCUUUUCGAUUGCAAAAUGUGAGUCUGUUUUUCCCACUUUAUCCAUCCCCCUCUAUCAAAAUGAUCAAAAAGGCAUUUCAAAUGCUUCUUAUUCCCGUGUUUGAUCUUAUCCAUCUCUGCCCCGCUUCCAUGUGGGCAGAGACCCCUGUAGAGAAUGAAGAGGAGCCAAGGAUCUUACUCUCAAGAGUGCUUCGAUAGGCUCCACUCUCUCCCCUGAAUAAGUCAGGCUCCGUUAGCCUGGGCUGAGAUGGGGAUAACGAGUCGACGAUUGAAGCCCCCAACGUUCUGCCAGACACUGGACAGGGGUAAGCUCUGUAAAUGUGUAGAGCCAAGUGUAGUGUGGUGUAGUAGUAGGCACUUCUAGGCCCCUUCCCGGCUACUGGAUCACUCCAGUGCUUCGGGUACUACGGACCCUCUGCCAUCCAUUGCAGCAGAGCCGUUUCAUGAGCGGGGGGGGGGGGCUAAGCGCAGUUCUUUGAAUCAAAGGUUUCAUGAAAUCGAAAUCGAUUCUUUUUUAGAUAUCUGGAUAGAUGGAUGGAUCUAUCUUUCUAUUCAGAUAUCUUUUGCAAUCAGCCCCAAAUCCUUGAUUUGGCCAGGAAACAAAGCACUGCUUUGGGCCCAGGAAGCGAAGGGAAUGAGCUCGGCUGCUUCUCCCCCACACUUCUUUAUUUCUCCGUGCCCCUUCCGCAUGCGCUUCGCGUGCCAUUGGCGCUUUGCUCUCCUCUUAUUUCUUCAUUGGAGGGUUCGGAUGGACUUCGCCGUUCUUUCCCAACGAAAAUGGAAAGGGCUGUAUCACAUCGAGAUGUCGAUUCGUUUUCCGCCCCAAAUGAGAUGGGGAAUUAGUCACCUCUGUCCCUUCAUCUUUUUGAAAGGAAUCGAGGCCCGGCCCGGCUCGCGUCGUUCCAACAACCGACGGGGAGCACCUCAGUAUACGAUCGCGCGCAGUAACUGGGAGUCCUAUUACACCUAAGGCCAACUUCCAUUCACCAAACCCAGGUUCAUCUCGUGUAGUGAUUGUGGACUCGUACAAGGAUAUGGAGUCGACGGUUGAUGUAUCAGACUCGACCCUGUCUUUCGUAGCAUGCAUUCCCAUCUGUGUUGCAACUGAUUCGGUAAGCUACGUGUCCGGUGCACGGAAAACUGCCUUCGGUCUCCCAACCUUACUCAUGGCAACCUUCCGGCCGCCCAACGACCUAUAACGCUAGUCACUACUCCCACUGGGGCUAGGAAGUAAGCCCCACAACCCAAAGCGGCGAAGAACAAAUAGAAUUUGCUACAAAAGCCGGCUAACGGGGGUAUUCCUGCGUAUGAGAACAUUGUAAUGGAGAAGGUCAUAGCCGAAAUAGGAUUCGUUUUGGCUAGAGCGCCCAAAUCCGCUAUAUAUUUGACACGGGUUUGUCGUAAUGCUGGAACUAUGGCGAAUGCAUCUAUCGUCAUUGAUGCAUAAAUAAAUAUACCAAUUAGUAGUGAUUGAAUUCCUUCUAUGGUUCCACAUGAGAAACCAGUACGAAUAUAACCUACAUGUCCAAUCGAACUAUGAGCUAGAGGUCUUUUGACUUUCGUUUGGGCCAUGGCGGCCAGUGCUCCUAAGAUCAUAGAAGCAAUGCUGCAGAAAAAGAAGAUUUGUUGUAAUGUACCCCCAUAGGAAGCAACAAUAGAAACACGUGACAUAUUUGCAGAAAUAGAGAUUUUAGGCGCAAUAGAAAGGAAUGCUGUCACCGGGGUGGGUGAACCCUCAUAGAUAUCAGGUGCCCACAUAUAUAGAGUCAAAAGAGAGAUUGAGUCCGAGGGAGAGGGGGGUUUUCUUGGGGCUCGAGAGAUUGAAUAGAUAGGGCCCCACAAGUUAAUUCGCCGCUGGGGAAUUCACACAAAAGGGAAGGACUUAUUCUCAACGAAAAAAGUGCUCUCUGAACCGAACGUGAAAGUUGUUUUCCAUCAGACGGCUAUUCACGUAACUCCACUCUCGGCUUGGAUUAUAUAUCCAUUUGGUCCGCUCUCGGCCAUUCCACACGCUGCCUAGCAGAGACGUGGUUAUCUGAAGUGGAUUCUCUCUUUUGUAGUAGAUGCCGAACCUGCUGCUCAGUGGGCGGGCGCAGCAGCUACAUGGACCCCUUUCUUUAUGUUGUUGCCAGCGCUUUCCCGGGCCGAGCCGAAAUUCUUUAUUAGAACGUCGGCAGGCAAAGCCCGAAGGAAGGCUGCUAUCCCCUUGGCCUUCUUCCUUUUCGAUGAAAAACAAAUCGACAUCUCAAUCUCCGAAAGCGUUUUCCUUACCCAGCUAAUAUCCCCCCCUUCGUCGAGCCUUUCCUUUAGUGGUAAGGGAUAUGCACCUUAUCUGAACGUCGGCAGGCAUUCCGGAAUUCUCCUUUUUUGGCCCCGGGUGAACAUAGGCUCAAACAUGAUUGGAGGGGUCCUAGCUACGCCAUGCGUUCAAUAAAAAAAAGCAAGCCUCUGGGAAGCUGCAGGGAUUACAAAAAGAGGGUGCUUUCCUGUGUUGCACUGAAAAAAGGACAAAGGAGAAGACGCUCUUCGACUUUCUUUCUUCCUCCCGCGCCCGCCUAAGCCCGGCCCGCGUUAGAGGGGAAGAUUAGCAAAGCGGAAAAAGACAGAGGGAGGGGGAGCUGCAUCUUAUUCUCUUCGCGAGAACUUCAGGAUCGGAGAAGCAUUCGGAAGGGGCGAGGCCUUCAUUUCGUUGGCAGAAGCAGAAACGAUCCAAUCCAUUCGGGGCUUCGGGGAACCCAAAAACGAACUCUGUUUACUUUUUUCAUAGAUAGAUGAUAUAUAUAGGAAUAAUAUAUACAUCACUUUACUUUAGAUGUCUAUGUAUCUAUUUUGGAAUCAUCUCCCGAUUCUCUUUUUUUUCUAAUUCGCACUGCUCUUUCUCUCUAAAUUGCAUCAAAGAAAAUAGAGAGAGAGAGCAGAUGGAUCCUAUCCCCUAUAACGAACACUCAUUCCUAUCUAUUGAUAGAAAAGAAAGAUCUUCGUCACGGACUUUUUCUUUGUUCUUUUUUUUAGAUUGGAGGAAUUCCUCAUAUCCAAGGCAGCUCCCCACAAACACCCCACCCAUAUGACUAUGCCCCCUUUUGAAUCGACAGUAGAUUGGGCUUCAUAGCUACUUUCAUUCUAAAGACGAAUAUUAGUCAAUAGGCAGGCUUCUUUCAGUAGCAAACAUAUUCAUUUUCACCGGGCUCCGCGCACCUUUGGUACUUCUGGAGGGCAAGCAGUUUUAUAGUGACUUCUUUCUUAGGGUAGGGCGACGAAUACUUCCAAUUCCGGAAAGGUCAUUGGGUCGCCUUUGGAAGCUAAAGCGAAAGUUGUAGAAAGCCGGGAGAAAAAGCGAAAGCUUGCUCGAAACGGCCUAUACCCUAACCCUCGGAAGCGAAGACGCAAAGCGUCACUUUUUUCAAAAGGAAGGAGUUUUUUCUGACUGAAUCCAUCCAUAAAGCCGCCAAGGAAACGAAGUUCGUUCCCUUUCAUCAAGUGGGUAAGGUAGGCAAACCACUUAAGCUUUGCCUUAGACUGACGGAACAAAGCUAAGAAGUAGGCUGAAUGGAAAAAGGAAAGGGACAAGGGCGGUCGUCGCUUGGUGCGAAGGCUGCUGGUUCGAUACGGUACUAAAGGUCCUCGGACUUCCAGGCGGUUUUUCUUUUGGGCUGCUGUGAACCCUUGGAUCUCGCCAAUACAGCCUCCUAUGGUUUUCGUUACCGAGAUAUCUUUUCUUUUUUCCCAGGGAUUUUUUGGGUAAUCAGCUCCCAUGCUGCAAACAGUCAAAUCUGAACCUUGUCGCUCUUCUUUCCUCGUGGGCAGGAAGCACACCAGCAGCGUGCGUUGCGUGAUUCCACUGUGUUUUUGGCACUUGACUGGGUGGACAGUUGACCGGAAGAUAACUUCGAUUCGCCCGGCCAGCAGGCGGGCGGCGUGCUUAUCUUGUGUGACAACACUACAGAGCGAGUAGCUCUUCUAGUCGGGCAGCUGUGUGACAACACUCCUGAGAAAGCGGCGCUUUUGUGUAACAUGCUAUGGUCUCAACGCCCUUACGAGGUAGUGAUGAGUUUCACGCGCUCUAAGCCCGGCCCGCGCGCAGUUAGGAGGAUUGGCCGCUAUCUGAGCGGUACCACCCACCCUACCCUACUACCUAUAGGGGGCCGUCCGUCCUACAGCCGCCCGAAAAGGAACUGCAGUAAUCUUGAAUAGGAAUCCUACAGCGAUAAAAAGAAUCCCCAUAAAAAUACCACUAGAUCGAGCACCAGUGAUUUCGUAUCCGGUCAAAAUCUUGGCUAAUUGAUCGAAGUGGGUAGCUCCAGUAGACCCAUAGAUCAUGGAACAAAUAGGGUGGGUAGGCCCAACCACCACACUACACGUAUAGACGCGAACCCCCCUCCUUACCGUACGUGCGACUCUCACCGCAUACGGCUCGCACAAAGACUCCAAAAUCCAUCCCGAGCUUUUUAUUCCACCUCUCCCUCCUCUCCAAUCCUCGAUCAAACUAGCCUUCCCCAGCAAGAAAACGUAUCCGCUUUAGCAACAAAGCGCUCAUCCCUUGCUUGUUCUUGAGCGCGCAAGGCGCUCAAGACGGUGAUUCUUGCUUAAAAAAGGGCUAAAGCACUCCAGCUUCGAAGCUGGAGUUUGCAACUUCAAAACUACAGGUUUUAGCCCUCCUGCUGGGUGGGCGCUUCCUUCGUCUAUCGUAUGUCUCGCUUGGCUUCGUCCCGAACCAAGGAGGCAUGAUGGCGGGCGCGUGCGUGUGCCGACUGCAGAGACUACAAGCCGACGCCGGAAGCGACUCGCUUCUAUUCUCGAUUGGAUAUAGAUGGGGAAUCUCUAUAGAUCGUCUUUUUUCGACAACCUCUCUAAAACGCAUACGAGAAAAUUGCACUUCACGGCACGGCAAAAAAAAGAGCUUCGCUCGAUUGGCCCUCCUAGGCUUCCGCCUACUUUCUCUUCUCUUAAGUCUACAACAAGUGGGAGAGGCAGGAUUCGAACCUACGUAGAAAACCUUCAACAGAUUUAUAGUCUGUCGCUUUUGACCGCUCGGCCACUCUCCCCUUCCCGGGGAUAUGCCCUCCUCAAACAAAGGGUUCCUGAAUAAGAAGGAUGGCGGCCUUUGUUCUUAAGUUAAGAAGAGCAGAUGGAACUAUUAGAUUUGCUAGCGUUCCGGGAGAAUAAAUAAGGUCAUUUAGUAAGUUCAUAACAAUUUAUGUAAAGCAAGGGGCAAAGCUUCUACGACAGCUUCCCCCUCAUUGCCAUCAUCGGCCUUCCCCAGCUCCCCUCCUUCAUUGCUUCUGGCUAAGCAUCUUUCGGCGGAGGAAAGGAGGCGACUAGUCGCUUCUGGCGAAGCAGCGAGUUCAUGAGCAAGUGAAUGAACGAGCAGCGAGUGAAGUGCAACAGUCAUAAGUAAGGCUCGCCAUGUUCCUAAAAGGAGUGACCAUCUUUUCUUCCCUUCUACUGACACUGAGCGAGCAGCAAGCAUAGGCAAUAGUUUCCGUAGGGGUGGGGCGCAAGCAAGCAUUUUCAGGCUCCGCUAGCUAGCGUACUCUUCUGCUAUCAAUGAAACCGAAAGAAAAAACCAGUGCCCUUUCGUAUAGAUCGAGACGCAGUACUUUUUCUUUACUUCUUCCAUACUAGGAAGAAUGGAAGGAAAUCCUUCGAUAACACUUCUUCCUUAUUUGAAGAAAUGAUAUCCGACGCCCGUGGAAACUCUUUCAUUUCAAAAAAGUUCUUCUUCUUAAGAAGCAAAUAGCAUUUCCUAUUGAUUUGUCCCCUGGACUAGACCUAUGUAGAUUCGGAAUUAUCCGUCGCUACGCUGUUCCCAAGGACUAGCAAAAUCGAAAUAGCGAAAUUCUUGGGUCAUCUCAAUGGGUUCAGAAACCACACGUUUCUCUGGAUCAUCAUAGCGUACUUCCACAUAUCCACUCAGAGGAAAGUCUUUUCGUAAUGGAUGACCCUCGAAACCAUAAUCUGUUGAUAUACGGUGUAAAUCCGGAUGAUUGAUGGAAGAAACACCAGACAUAUCCCAUACUUCUCGCUCCCACCGGCCGGCUGAUGGAAAUAGACUGACUACCGGAGAUAUUCGUGUUACUUCGUCUGCACUUGUUUGUACACGAAUGCGUGAGUUAUACCGAGUACUCAGUAAAUUACGAACAACUUCAAAUCUGCGUUUUCGAGAGGGAUGAUCCACUCCGCAAAUAUCGAUCGAAACUUGAACCCUUGUAUAGGUAUGCCAUUUUAGAAAGCACAACAAUGGAAAUGGGUAGUCAGUAUUGGUAUAAGAUCUAUUCCCAUGUUCCGAUCUUUUCAUUUUAUGUACCCAUUUCUUGGGUAAAAUCUCCCAACUAUAUUGGAAAAUGGAUUGGUUAUCCAUAAAUGAAAAUAAAGAAAGCUUUAUUUUGGUUCCGCUUCUUGCUCUAAGCAGAAAGACUUGUCGAAAAUCGCCGGUUGGGUUGGUCCGACCAAGAAAGGCAUGGGAGUGGAGAGGCAGAAGUGAAAGACUGGCUACCAAUAAAGAUCCAAAACUGCACACUUUAUAUAGUUAUGUAUCCAGGAUCGGCUGCAUGCUCUAGUGUUGAAUCGGGUAUAGAACCCAGGAUGCUUGGUUACAAUUCCGAAUCCGCUAAACCAUCGCUCGGGGAAAAGUAUUAUACAGAGCAUUAGUACUUAUUCUGAUCCUUUCCUUAUAUUUAGAUUCUAGUAGUUUAUUUCAGUCGUAUUCGUAUCCUUACUGUGGUUUAGUAAGGGUAACAAAUAAAAGUAUGCAGGUUCUAUUUUAUUGUUCCGAGACAUAUGAUGAUAGCAUUGAGAAUGAGAAAUCUUUGCAAAAUGCACGUAUUAUUAAGGAGUUCUGGAACGAUUACUACGCUAAGCUGUUGGAUAUUGACAAAACGAAAAAGACUUCUAAUGUUGAUAUGUAUCAGGAUGAUGUUAGAAAGUUGUUGAUUAAUGAAAAGAAGAAUCAAAAUGGUGUGUUUUCCGAUACUGAAUUAAUAGAUUUACAGAAUCAAAUUGCAAAUUGCACAAUGAAGUUCGAUGAGGAUAAUCUAUUUAAAGUAACUCCUAACAUAGUAAAGUUCUUGAUUAAUAAAGAUCAGCCUAACGCUAAGCAAUAUCUAAAGGGUUGCCUACCAAGUAGCUUACCUAUGCUUAAGAUGUUUGGUAUCUAUACGCUUGAGGCUAUCAUGAUUCAUGUACUAGGCUUGGUAUUCAACACUCUUCAGGAAUCAUCCGCAGUUAAGGCAGCUAGAUUUAUAGAUCAACUUAAUUCAACUGUACGAGAACAAGCAAGGUUUCUACAAUACAAAGCACCAGGUAGUGGUAAGGUGGAAGCAGUACUCACUAGUAAGGUAGAAUCAGUUAAGGAUGUUGUUCAGCACAAAGGUGCUAGCAAAAAAGAGAAAAAGAAAAAAAUGCAGUGUCAUUAUGAUAUCGGGAAAUACUUGCUCCAAUUCAUGAUUGAAAGAAAUGUUCUACAUAUAUCAACAGAUAGGGGAGUAACAAAAGAAGAUCCAGUGCUGGUUCUUAAGAAAGGUCAAGGGUAUAUAGAGAAUUCUUGUUAUGUUAUGUGCAAUUUGAACAUAAAUCUGCUCCCUAUCAAACUCAAUCUUCCGAUGCUUUGCAAACCCUUGGAUUGGCAACCAGCAGAGAGGGGGUCUGAUCCUGAUACAUUAUCGGAUCUGAUAGGAGGUUACUUAUGCAAACCCACGGUGGAUAUCUAGAAUCACUUUCGGCUAUUAACUUCCCAUGACUUAAACCACUUCUAUAUAAAGUUACAUAAAAAAGAAUACAAGCAGAUGUGUGAUAUUUUGAAUGGGCUUCAGUCUCAAGCGUUUGAAAUAAACAAAAGGCUCUUGAGAUUUCUGGAAAAGAAUCGUCAAUGUUUAGUUGAGUGUG
rnacentral:lncRNA from 1 species